UAGAGAACUCAUCGAAUAUAGCAUGGUGGUAAAUAUCGCAAAGCAUUGCCCGUGCCUUGGUUCGUUCAUCUCCAAAGUUAUAUAUAAGAGAUACAAGUGUAUCCAUCAGUGUCCUACUACUUUCCGGAAAAGUGGGUGUCCGAGGAACGAUCUCAGGUAUCACAACAAAGGCCGGCGGCCCUCUAUUUUCAUCCUCAGUUUGGUUCUCAUCACCUUCUGCAUCCCCAUCCUCACCUUCAGUCCCAUCUAACCUUUGCUCGGCUAACUUCCUCAUUGCGUCAUAAACCUCUUGAGGCUUGUAGUAUACAAGCUCAACACGCCUCAAUGCCACUUUUGAUGCUGCUUUGUAAUCCCCUACCUUCUCCAGGUAGGCCUGAACAUUCUGUGCAACGACGAAAAACAGAGGCUCAUCUCUAAGCCUCUCACCAUACUCACGAGUGUGUGGAUCAAUACACUGCAAGCUCUUGAAGAACUCAGAAUCCAGGCGCUCGAGAAAUGCAACCAAGUUCCCCCAGACUCGAAUAGUUCCCUUAUAGUCAGCACCUUUCUGAGUCUCCUUCUCUUCAGGCUCAACCGAGUCAUCCACUACAAUGUUAGGGUUUCCUUCAAGGAUGUCAAGCACAGAGAGCAUAUUAUCAACACUCUUCUUCCAUACAUUUAUGGGCAUAUGCCCAAGUAAGCUAGGGUUCACAUCAAAUUGAGCUGAGAUUGUGCUGAAGAGGAUCUCAAGCUUCUGAGCAGGUGUUUUUGCGACACGUGUCAAGAACAUCAGCUGCUCCACCUGCUCUAUCCUGCCGGUUCCCUUCCUGCCUCUGGCUGCCAUGAUCUCCUUGAGCUUCUUGUCAACAAUAUCCCAGGUAAUUUCGCUUGGAUCCUUCAUGAACUGCUUAUCCAUGAGCCUAUCUUUCUUGCUCUUCUGUUUCUCCCAGUCAUCAUCAGACUUCUCCCCGCUAGAG
rnacentral:misc_RNA from 1 species